rnacentral:rRNA from 1 species
GACGAACGCUGGCGGCGUGCCUAAUACAUGCAAGUUGAGCGCUGAAGGUUGGUACUUGUACCAACUGGAUGAGCAGCGAACGGGUGAGUAACGCGUGGGGAAUCUGCCUUUGAGCGGGGGACAACAUUUGGAAACGAAUGCUAAUACCGCAUAAAAACUUUAAACACAAGUUUUAAGUUUGAAAGAUGCAAUUGCAUCACUCAAAGAUGAUCCCGCGUUGUAUUAGCUAGUUGGUGAGGUAAAGGCUCACCAAGGCGAUGAUACAUAGCCGACCUGAGAGGGUGAUCGGCCACAUUGGGACUGAGACACAGCCCAAACUCCUACGGGAGGCAGCAGUAGGGAAUCUUCGGCAAUGGACGAAAGUCUGACCGAGCAACGCCGCGUGAGUGAAGAAGGUUUUCGGAUCGUAAAACUCUGUUGGUAGAGAAGAACGUUGGUGAGAGUGGAAAGCUCAUCAAGUGACGGUAACUACCCAGAAAGGGACGGCUAACUACGU